rnacentral:rRNA from 1 species
UACAGGGGGGGCAAGCGUUGUUCGGAAUUACUGGGCGUAAAGGGUCUGUAGGUGGCUUGCUAAGUCAGACGUGAAAUCCCUCAGCUUAACUGGGGAACUGCGUCUGAUACUGGCAAGCUUGAGUGCAGGAGAGGAACGCGGAAUUCCAGGUGUAGCGGUGAAAUGCGUAGAUAUCUGGAGGAACACCGGUGGCGAAGGCGACAUCCUGGACCGGUAUUGACGCUGAGGCGCGAAAGCCAGGGGAGCAAACGGG